CGUUGGGACUCUUGAAGUCUUAGUGGCGCAGCUAACGCACUAAGUUGACCGCCUGGGGAGUACGGCCGCAAGGUUAAAACUCAAAUGAAUUGACGGGGGCCCGCACAAGCGGUGGAGUAUGUGGUUUAAUUCGACGCAACGCGAAGAACCUUACCUGGCCUUGACAUGCAGAGAACUUUCCAGAGAUGGAUUGGUGCCUUCGGGAACUCUGACACAGGUGCUGCAUGGCCGUCGUCAGCUCGUGUCGUGAGAUGUUGGGUUAAGUCCCGUAACGAGCGCAACCCCUAUCCCUAGUUGCUAGCAGUUCGGCUGAGAACUCUAGGGAGACUGCCGGUGACAAACCGGAGGAAGGUGGGGAUGACGUCAGGUCAUCAUGGCCCUUACGGCCAGGGCUACACACGUGCUACAAUGGUGCGUACAGAGGGCUGCAAACCCGCGAGGGGGAGCUAAUCUCACAAAACGCAUCGUAGUCCGGAUCGGAGUCUGCAACUCGACUCCGUGAAGUCGGAAUCGCUAGUAAUCGCGAAUCAGAAUGUCGCGGUGAAUACGUUCCCGGGCCUUGUACACACCGCCCGUCACACCAUGGGAGUGGAUUGCACCAGAAGUGGUUAGUCUAACCUCGGGAGGACGAU
rnacentral:rRNA from 1 species